rnacentral:lncRNA from 1 species
UUUGCACCAGCCGACCCAAAACCUCUCAGGCUGCCACCGGCACACAGGCGUGAGGGAUUGUGACCCCAGAACCAGAGCUCGGGCUGACAGGACUGGCCGUUUGACGAUGGGGCGCCCCCGCCCGGCAAGGUAGUGGAAGACUGGCUGAGCCUGGUGAAGGCCAAGUUCUGUGAGGCCCCCGGCAGCUGCGUGGCUGUGCACUGCGUGGC